rnacentral:rRNA from 1 species
UGGUGGAGUGAUUUGUCUGCUUAAUUGCGAUAACGAACGAGACCCUCUCCUGCUAAAUAGCCCAAUUUACUUUGGUAGAUUGUUGGCUUCUUAGAGGGACUAGUGACUCAAGUCAUUGGAAGUUGUGGGCAAUAACA